UGAAUACGAGACGCUAAGGCGUCGAAGUAGUGUAUGUCAUACUUCCAAGAAAAGCUUGCACUGUCAUAGGAAAAAAACGCCUGUACCAUAACCGACACAGGUGGGUAGGUAGAGUAUACUAAGGGGCGCGAGAUAACUCUCUCUAAGGAACUCGGCAAAAUAACUCCGUAACUUCGGGAGAAGGAGUGCCUUAUUCGUAAGGUUGCAAUAACAAGAUCCAAGCAACUGUUUAUCAAAAACACAGGUCUCCGCUAAGUCGUAAGACGAUGUAUGGGGGCUGACGCCUGCCCAGUGCCAGAAGGUUAAAGAAGUUGGUUAGCAAUUGCGAAGCUGAUAACUGAAGCCCUGGUGAACGGCGGCCGUAACGAUAACGGUCCUAAGGUAGCGAAAUUCCUUGUCGGGUAAGUUCCGACCCGCACGAAAGGCGUAAUGAUUUGGAUACUGUCUCGGAGAGGGGCUCGGUGAAGUAGACUUGUCUGUGAAGAUGCGGACUACCUGCACCAGGACAGAAAGACCCUAUGAAGCUUUACUGUAACUUGAAAUUGAAAUUGGACUUUAUUCGCGCAGUAUAGGUGGGAGGCGUUGAUUAUAAUCUUGUGGGAUUAUUGGAGCCAUCAGUGAGAUACCACUCUUGUAAUGUUAGAUUUCUAACUUUGAAUCAUUAUCUGGUCAAAGAACAGUUUCAGGCGGGCAGUUUGACUGGGGCGGUCGCCUCCUAAACGGUAACGGAGGCGUACAAAGGUUUCCUCUGAACGGUUAGAAAUCGUAUCUAGAGUGUAAAGGCAUAAGGAAGCUUGACUGUGAGACCUACAAGUCGAGCAGGGACGAAAGUCGGUCUUAGUGAUCUGACGGUACUGAGUGGAAAGGCCGUCACUCAACGGAUAAAAGUUACUCUAGGAUAACAGGCUGAUCUCCCCCAAGAGUUCACAUCGACGGGGAGGUUUGGCACCUCGAUGUCGGCUCAUCGCAUCCUGGGGCGGUAGUACGUCCCAAGGGUUGGGCUGUUCGCCCAUGAGAGCGGUACGCGAGCUGGGUUCAGAACGUCGUGAGACAGUUCGGUCCAUAUCCGGUGUAGGCGUUAGAAUAUUGAGAGGAGCCUUCUUUAGUACGAGAGGACCGAGAAGGACAUACCUCUGGUGUACCAGUUAUCGUGCCAACGGUAAACGCUGGGUAGCUAUGUAUGGAGUGGAUAACCGCUGAAAGCAUCUAAGUGGGAAGCCCACCUCAAGAUAAGUAUUCU
rnacentral:rRNA from 1 species